AGAACUUUAAUUAGUCUGUCAGAUUAGCAGGUUCACAUUAGUCGUUCCACCAGCCGUCGCAGGCAGAGCUUCAGAAGAUGAGUUCCCUAACGGUGUUUGGUUUCCUGUGUCUUGCCAUGGCAAUACAACCAGGAUUUGCCGAUCUUGUCGGAUACAAGAUAGUUGUAAAAACAGGUAAUAAACUGGCAGGGGGAACCCACGCAAAUGUUUUCAUGAGUUUGUUUGGUUCAAAGGGAACAACUGGCAGGAUUCCUCUUCCACGUCAGCAUAAUGACAGCUUUCAGAGGGGAAUCCAGGAUGAGUUUAAUGUGACUUCCUUCAACGUUGGACGAGUUCACUCUAUAGAAAUUGGACAUGACAACGUUGGCUUGUGAGCGGGCUGGUUCCUUGAUCAUGU